rnacentral:rRNA from 1 species
UACGUAGGGCGCAAGCGUUGUCCGGAAUUAUUGGGCGUAAAGAGCUCGUAGGCGGUUUGUCGCGUCUGCUGUGAAAACCUAAGGCUCAACCUUGGGCUUGCAGUGGGUACGGGCAGACUAGAGUGCGGUAGGGGUGACUGGAAUUCCUGGUGUAGCGGUGGAAUGCGCAGAUAUCAGGAGGAACACCGAUGGCGUAGGCAGGUCACUGGGCCGCAACUGACGCUGAGGAGCGAAAGCAUGGGGAGCGAACAGG